rnacentral:lncRNA from 1 species
GUGAACUACUGUGACAUGGUGGGCAACGUCAUCCGGGCGCAGGGGAGCACCCUCAGUGGCAAGGCCUUGUGUGCACCAGAAGAAAUGAACAGAUUCUUUUCAUCUCCGUUUUCCAAGGCUAUCGUGCUGGACUGUUUCUGGUGGAUCUUUCAUGAAAGAUACGAUGUAAGGAAGGAAGGCGGAGCAGAUGAAGUCUGGCUCCAGGAGAGAGGAGGGAAGUGAUGAAAACUCAUCGCUGCCCUGAUGUCUCUUUGGUGCCUCUGGGCUCAGGGCUGUAGCCAUGACCGUCCUUAAGACUUCCCAACAGUUUGGCAGACAGACUCGGAGGUUGGGCUUGUCCUCCCAUGACGCCUCGUCUUAGGUGAAG